rnacentral:piRNA from 1 species
UCCCCUCCACAUUUGGUGAAAUAGGAAGCU